UUGCGAAGAGUUGGACAUGACAGCCAUUUCACUUCACUUCACUUGACCUUUUAUAGAUUUUAUUUUAUUUUCAUGACAACCCUGUGUGGUGGAUGUUAUUAUCAUCUCUUUACAGAUAAAACAGCAACUGAGGCUGAGAGAAAGAAUGGAUUUCCAUGGACACUAUUCUUGCAUAUAGUAAGACUCCAGCCUCUAUGACUUUUCCCGAGUUCCAAAGGGCAGAUUCAAAUGAUUACUAAUCAAGGGAGAAACAGCCAAGAAACCAUCUGAGGCAAGAUUAAAGGAACUGGAGAAUCUCAACAAAAUUAGGAGAGCAAACUCCUCUUAGUCUCUUCGGAGACUGAGAUUAGGGACUUCGGGGCCCUGCACACACCCUAAUCCUUAUCAGCAACCCCAUCCUUGUCAUAAAAUCCUCAUUAAAUCCUCCUGGGUUGGAACACAAUUUUGUGAGGCAUGAGCCUGCUGUGUCCCCCUUUGCCUGGCAAAGCAAUAAAGCUAUUCUUUCUACUUCACCCAAAACUGUCUCUGAGAUUCAACUGGGCACCAGUGCUGAGAUUUUGGCAAUCUCAGUCAAUUUAUUUGGCCUUCCUAUGUCUCACUUUAUUUCCUCAAAGUGAGGAACAUUUACCAGUCUGUUUCUUCCUUUUGAAAAUGGAGACUAUACUAGUACCUACCUCAACACUGUUUUGAAGAUUAAAUGAUGUAUAAAAGUGCUUGGCACAGAUAAAUUUCUCAAGUGUGGUGGCUAUCAUAUUAAUAUAUAUUAGAAGUAUUUUCUCAGGAGUGUCUGGAGAUUCAGAUCAAUCUGAAGGAUGACACUGAAAAAGUUUGGAAAACAUCCCCUGGACUGCAAUUCAAGGAAGUCUUUGGGAACCUUGAUGAGCUUCCACAGUGUGGUGCAGAUGACACAGCAGGAAGCAAAGCCAGCACUUUUUUGGUGGUCCAGUGGAUAAGAAUGCAUCUGCCAAUGCCAGGGACAUGUAUAUGAUCCCUGGUCUGGGAAGAUUCCACAUGCUGUGGAGCAACUAGGAUCACAAGCCAUAAUUACUGAAGCCACUGAAGCUGGUGCGUCUAGAACCUGAGCUCUGCAACAAGACAAGCCACCGCAAAGAGAAGCCCACACAUGGCAACAAAGAGUAGCGCCCCCUCACUGCAACUGGAGAAAGC
ensembl:lncRNA